rnacentral:lncRNA from 1 species
UUCCGAUUAUGCCUGUCCCUCCCAGCCCUCCCCUGCUCCACCGUGUCCAACCCCAAAUGAUCAGUUCUCAACAGAUCAGGUUUUAAGAGGUAGAGCAGAACACUGACUCCCAGAGUAGGAGGGCGACGAGACCAGACAGGUUACCGACGCGGUGGUCACAGGUGGGAAAUCACAAGAGCGCCAACACUCGGUGCUUCUUCAUUCUCGGAAUUUAGAGGAAAAAAAUUUACAUCACAGAGUGCUCCACACACAAAGCCGUGAUGUUACAGGUCCUGGUAAGUGAUACGCACGUUGAGAGAGGAGGGUUAACGCUGGAAAAGGAAGCAGAGCUCGCCUCCGAGGGCUGGUCCCGUCUGCCUGCAGUCCCCCCAUCCCCCACCUCACACACGGGGACCUAGCUGCGUGGUGACCUUGAAGGGGUCUUUAGGAAGACAAGUAUUUAAACUUGGACAGUGGGAUAAAGAAACAUUCGCUGUUUAUCCAAGGCAUUUGUUUCUUUUUCCUUUACUUUAUACCCAAUAUAACAGGCCCCUGAAGUAGUUGGGAAAUUUAUACAAAGUGUCCAAAAACAGGUGAAAUUCAUGAUAAGUGUUGGGAUGGAAGGACAACUUGGAGAAUGAUGGUACUCCCAGCAAUCCCAGGUCUAGAGGUUCAUCCUAAGAUAUAACUGGACAAACAUGUAUCUGUACCUUUGUGUCAUUUAUUUAUAUAACAGCAAAAAAAAAAAAAAAUCAACAAAACUAUGAAUAAGACAGAAGUUAAAUAAAUUGUGGUAUAUCCACAGAACAGAUUACUAUGGAGCCAUUUAAAAACAUCAGUGUUAAUUUUUUUUUUUUUUAAUAAGAGACUUCCCUGGUGGUCCAGUGGUUAAGACUUAGCCUUCCAAGGCACGGGAUGUGGGUUCGAUCCCUGAUCAAGCAGCUAAGAUCCCACAUGCUUCACAGCCAAAAAACCAAAAUGUAAAAUAGAAGCAAUAUUGUAAAAGAAAAAUUUUUAAUAAAAAUAAAAACAAUAGUAUGAAAAUGACAUUGAAAAUUUACCUAGUGACAAGGUUAGAUUCUACAACAUAUACAUUUUAAAAGUAAUAGCAUUUAUAGUAUGACUCCAUGGCCAGAAAAAUAGGCACAUAUGUGUAUGGUUAAAUGUUUUCCUCCCCCAAAUGUACCCAUUAUAUUUAUAUUGAAAAGGUUAGAAGAACACAUACUGAAAUGGUAAUGCCAAUUACGGGUAGGGGUGG